AUUGAACGCUGGCGGCAUGCCUUACACAUGCAAGUCGAACGGCAGCACGGGAGCAAUCCUGGUGGCGAGUGGCGAACGGGUGAGUAAUAUAUCGGAACGUGCCCAGUCGUGGGGGAUAACGUAGCGAAAGCUACGCUAAUACCGCAUACGAUCUACGGAUGAAAGCGGGGGAUCGCAAGACCUCGAGCGAUUGGAGCGGCCGAUAUAAGAGUAGGUAGUUGGUGAGGUAAAGGCUCACCAAGCCGACGAUCUGUAGCUGGUCUGAGAGGACGACCAGCCACACUGGGACUGAGACACGGCCCAGACUCCUACGGGAGGCAGCAGUGGGGAAUUUUGGACAAUGGGCGCAAGCCUGAUCCAGCAAUGCCGCGUGCAGGAUGAAGGCCUUCGGGUUGUAAACUGCUUUUGUACGGAACGAAACGGCGAGCUCUAAUACAGUUUGCUAAUGACGGUACCGUAAGAAUAAGCACCGGCUAACUACGUGCCAGCAGCCGCCGUAA
rnacentral:rRNA from 1 species